GGCUAGCCCCACCGAGACCACCAUGUACAUGGUUCGUUCCACUACAGCGUCAUUUCGUUUUUCACAGUUCAUUGGCGGUAGGGUAAGGCACGUGAUGAGUCAUGACUCGAGUGACAUCCCACCUCACCUUCCGUGCCGCGCGUAAGAAGCCCGGUAGCGAAGAAGAGAAGGAGAAGGAUAACCUUGCUAAAAAACAUCCCGGAGGCACACAUCGAAAACGAAUCGACAACAUGAAUGUGGUAGAUCAUCUAUUGGAGCACAGAUUUGAGACCCUUAGUCUCGAGGAAAAAUUUGAGGAAUCCAUCUGUGCCGCCCAGUUGAUCACCGAGGACGAGGGCUUGGGUCGGCUGGCCCACACGGUGCAGGUCUUGGUGGACCUCGCGCCGACUGCUGCCAGCCACCGCCGCGCUAGCACUGCUCCAUCCUUCUCCUGGCUCCAUGUUGUCCACUGAUUUUGCUGUCAUCCAAAGGUCCAAAAGGGUACCCCAAAAAAAUCUAUGAAACACUUGGUUUGUAAUCAUUGGUUGUUGAAAGUGAAAGAUGGAUUUCUUCCGUGUUUACAAGUAAAAACAGGCGUUUAGUUAGAUUUUUUUGGUUUUCAAGUCGGCCUAUAUAAAUUAUGCACAUGGGAAGUGGAAGUCGAGCAACUUGUUUUAAAGUUGAUUCAUACUUUUUUUUUGUUAGGAUUUUUGAUGCAAGCUACUACAGGGAGCCAGUGGAGGUCCCGGAAGAGGGGAGUCACAUGGGAGAACUUCGGCCUGUGACUCCGUGGUGCAGCGGAGAGAGCGCACGACUCGAGGCCCUGGAGGUCUGAGUUCAAGUCCCGAUUUAAGCCCCAGUCUCCGGAUUGAAAAUCCCAAGCUCUCCCUGCGGCACCAGACAGUGAGUUCAGAAGUUCAGAGGUUCAGAAGAUCAGAGUUUCAGAAGACCGUUAGAGGAACUGGGAGCUGAGUCCCGUUGAACAGCGAAAGAUCCCGCACGGAUGAGCCCCUUCCCACAUGCAGGACUUCAUCAUUCCGUUUCGUCCUCCUCGACCCCUCCGUCCAUCAACAGCGUGUCUUCUUUCAAUCCCCGUUUAUCCAUAUCCAAAGCCGAAACUCAUUGCAAACAUUUUGAUCAUCUGUUUGUCCGAGGAUAUACAACACCAGCAACUCUCACGACCAGUGGCGGUUGGUCAAUUAGGGCGCUAGUGAGCCGCCCCUCUGUGCAAUAUUCACUUGACACUGUUGUUAUUUUUUGGUCGUCAUGAAAAAAAACAAAAGGGGUAACACUGUUGAUAUUUAUCAAAUAAAACAUGAGUGGUAACACUCGUUUUUAUCAACUGAAACAUAAGGG
ensembl:lncRNA